rnacentral:lncRNA from 1 species
UUCGAGCUAGUCAGAUGGAAAUUGGAAUGGGUGUUUAAAAUUAGUGUACAUGGGCAGAUCUGUUGGGGGGUUUGGGGGUCUCCUUUGACGUUGAGGCAUGGUCGAAUCGAACCUGCCAAAUCGAUUGACCCUCCGGCAUUCCUGCAAGUUAGGCCCGCUGAAUUGCGACCGCACUGUUGAAACGUCGGAUUGAAGGCAGAAGAUUUGGUGGUCAUCUCUGCAACCUCAUCUCCUCCUCUUUCCGCCAUCCAUCCCGGAGCAAUCGUAGGACUCGUGCUCGAGCGGAAGCUAAGCCUCAACCCUUCUCUGCGGCAUUCUCAAGCAAAUUCGACAAUCUCAAGCACUUUUAAUAUUGAUUUGUCAACGUUAAUCACUUUUUUUAAAUGCGGAUGGCAGCUGUAUUUCAUCUGAGGAACAAUUUCCACUUCCUCAUACCCUCGGUAUUUCAUUCUAUUUAGCUUACCAAGAUGACGGAAGACUGCAACAACCAGCGCCUCGAUUGCCGUUAGUUUGCUUGCGAGGACAGGCAUGCCAUUGACCACAGCUUUGCAAGCGAAGACUGAAUGGCUCAAAGAACAAAUCUGCACCAUAUGUUGGAAUUAGGAGGUUUGAGGUUCCACCUGCACGAACAAAGUCAGCGACUUCUGAACGUAGCGCCAUUACCGUAUCAGAAAAGAACGGACAAUUUAGAACUAUCAAUCGUCAAGGACUUAUCAUCAAAGAAAUGCUGAUGUGAAGUGUUUUAUUAUCAUACGUUGCACCUCAUCUCCCCCUGUUUCUCCUAUCCCCUGAGCAAUCCUCCUCCUCUUUCCCUGCUAACGAAGACCCCCUCAGGAGGAAGCUGAGCCUCGGCCGUUCUUUGAGGCAUUUCGCUAUAUGGGUUUCACCGGAAUCAAACAUGACUUAUCUAGUAGUUCACCAGAAUCAAACAUAGAAAUAAAUCACGCUGAUAAAUUGAAUCCUACAAAGUUAUGCUUUGAUUUCUGAAUGGAGGAGCUUCAUGCAUGGUGUAUUGACAAGAUUUGUGUUUGUCGUCUUAAAACGUAGACUCAAUGUCCAAUCUUUGAGGCAUACUUCCUUUAUGUUUGGUCUUGUGAAUAUUGUAUACAUUUUCACUCAACAUCGGUUUCUCAAUAAAACUAUUGCCUAGAUGUAAGCAUACUUUCCGUAUUUCAAUCAUUCAUGAUCGCUCUACAGUUUUUGAACAUCAAAAUAAAUGACUAGGGAUGUGACUUCACCUCCCUUAUUACUAGAACUAUAUAAAUACGGCCUCUCAGUCAAGAGGAGGGGGGGAAAACGAGGAGAUCGUCUGCAGGAGGCCUGUGCUGUAUUCGGCAAGGCGAAAGUAGGAGUAUCCUCCUUUGCUCACUGUUCUUUCUUUUCCUGUUCAAUCUUCCUCAUCUCUAUUCACAAUCCUCAGAUCUGGAGAUUCCGAUCUGAGGAGUGCAUCUCGACAUGAUCGAAUAUUACAAUUCUUUUCACACAUAGCAAGAAUCGUAUCAGAAAUUUUCUCCAACUUUUCUCCAUAAUUCUAUUAUACUUUCUCUAUGUUUUCCAGCGUAAAAAACUGAUACCAUUUAAGUAUGCUGCAAUACGUUUUAAAGAGAAAUAUGACACCAGUUUAAAUGAUUUUAUUCCAUGGAAACCAGGGAUCAAUUCCAGGAACAAAUGGACUUUAUAUUUGAAGUACAGGUCAACCAAACAGUUAAGCAACAAUAUUUAUUAAAUGUACAGCUGCACGGAUAGUGAAGCGGUUGGGACAGUCGGCUUACGCUGCGCUGCUCAACCAGCAUGUUCCUCCCAUCAAAGCAAGCAGGAAAACACAAAAUUAAGGGACAGUAGUAACCGGCAAGAAAGGACCGCGGUAGAUCAUCCUUGACCCAUUAUAUGCAACGAAGGGGAAAUUUUGGUUUAAAGGAAGAAAGUUUGAACAAAUGUUCGAAGACGACAAAUACCUCAAGGGUGAGAUUUUCUGAUAGCUGGCGAGGUUUAAAGAAGACGAUGUAGACGUGAAGAAUACAAGUCGCAGUCGGAUUCCUCCAGACGAUUAUCUGUGAACGGCCUGAAUAUCUUGAGGGAGUUCGUCUUCCAAUUCAACAGAUCAGGCAACCCCCUUGGAGUCAACCACGAGUGGCCAAGACUCCAGCUGGAGGCGAGGCCAUAGAUGAAAUGCACUGGUUUUCCCGAGCCAACAGCCACCGGUGCCGGAGCAGAGAGGGGAUUGAAAGAGAGGGAAGUGGUGAGAAGCCUUAAAACCAGAGGAUCUACAAAGAGGUAUUAUAGCCUUCCCUAAUCAAUCUUGUUUUGGGAUCUGUUAGAGUUCUGCAUAAUAGCGAGUCAGAUUCCCCGGUGGGCCUGAAGUCACUUUCACAAGCCAGGAAGUCAAAUGGUGCCGACAAACCAAGACCGCGUCUAAAAAGGACAUGAGGGUGGGCUCCGUCUGCAAUUGCCAACGCUUCCCACGGGGUCAGGGUUCGCUUGCGAGCACAGGCAAGCAUUGGAUGACAUUGAG